AUACGAAGGGGGCUAGCGUUGUUCGGAAUUACUGGGCGUAAAGCGCACGUAGGCGGAUACUUAAGUCAGGGGUGAAAUCCCGGGGCUCAACCCCGGAACUGCCUUUGAUACUGGGUAUCUCGAGUCCGAGAGAGGUGAGUGGAAUUCCGAGUGUAGAGGUGAAAUUCGUAGAUAUUCGGAGGAACACCAGUGGCGAAGGCGGCUCACUGGCUCGGUACUGACGCUGAGGUGCGAAAGCGUGGGGAGC
rnacentral:rRNA from 1 species